rnacentral:rRNA from 1 species
UACGUAGGGUGCGAGCGUUGUCCGGAAUUAUUGGGCGUAAAGAGCUCGUAGGCGGUGUGUCGCGUCGGCCGUGAAAACCUGCAGCUUAACUGUGGGCGUGCGGUCGAUACGGGCAUCACUGGAGUUCGGCAGGGGAGACUGGAAUUCCUGGUGUAGCGGUGAAAUGCGCAGAUAUCAGGAGGAACACCGGUGGCGAAGGCGGGUCUCUGGGCCGAUACUGACGCUGAGGAGCGAAAGCGUGGGUAGCAAACAGG